AACGAACGCUGGCGGCGCGCCUAAUACAUGCAAGUCGAGCGAGAAGACGUAGCAAUACGUUUGUAAAGCGGCGAACGGGUGAGGAAUACAUGGGUAACCUACCCUCGAGUGGGGAAUAACUAGCCGAAAGGUUAGCUAAUACCGCGUACGCUCCUUGGACUUCGGUUCAGGGAGGAAAGCGAUACCGUGGGUAUCGCGCUCUUGGAUGGGCUCAUGUCCUAUCAGCUUGUUGGUGAGGUAACGGCUCACCAAGGCUUCGACGGGUAGCUGGCCUGAGAGGACGAUCAGCCACACUGGCACUGCGACACGGGCCAGACUCCUACGGGAGGCAGCAGUAAGG
rnacentral:rRNA from 1 species